rnacentral:Y_RNA from 1 species
AGUUUAUCCAAAGGUAGUGAGUGAUCUCAAUUGAUUUUUCAAAGUCAAUUACACAUCGAACUCCUUGUUUUACUAUUGCCCUGCUUCUCACUACUACACUUAACUAGUCUUUA